rnacentral:rRNA from 1 species
GACGAACGCUGGCGGCGUGCUUAACACAUGCAAGUCGAACGGAAAGGCCCUGCUUUUGUUGGGUGCUCGAUUGGCGAACGGGUGUGUAACACGUGAGUAACCUGCCCUUGUCUUUGGGAUAACUUCAGGAAACUGGGGCUAAUACCGGAUAUGAUCUCUUGCUGCAUGGGGUGGGUUGGAAAGUGUCGGCGGUUGUGGAUGGACUCGCGGGUUAUCAGCUUGUUGGUGGGGUAGUGGCUUACCAGGGCUUUGACGGGUAGCCGGCCUGAGAGGGGUACCGGCCACCUUGGGCCUGAGGUAGGGAGCAGACUCCAACCGGAGGCAGCAGUCGGGAAUAUUGCGGAGUGGGGGGACGUGAGAUGCGGAAAUGCCGGGUGCGGGAUGCCGGCCUUCGGGUUGUGAACCAAUUUGGAAUGUGCCGAAGAGUGAGUGACGGUAAUGGGUCAAGAAGCACCGGCUAACUACGUG